GACAGAGGGGGCAAGCGUUGCUCGGAAUCACUGGGCGUAAAGGGCGCGUAGGCGGGAUGGCAAGUCGGUCGUGAAAUCCUUCGGCUCAACCGAAGAACGUCGGCCGAUACUGCCGUUCUUGAGGGAUGCAGAGGAGAUUGGAAUUCCCGGUGUAGCGGUGAAAUGUGUAGAGAUCGGGAGGAACGCCGGUGGCGAAGGCGGGUCUCUGGGCAUCUCCUGACGCUGAGGCGCGAAAGCGUGGGGAGCAAACGGG
rnacentral:rRNA from 1 species